rnacentral:tRNA from 1 species
AAAAAUGUAGUUUAUUCAAAACUUUGCUUUGAUAGGGCAAGAAAGUAACAUAGGUUAUCAUUUUUA